rnacentral:rRNA from 1 species
AAAUUGAAGAGUUUGAUCAUGGCUCAGAUUGAACGCUGGCGGCAGGCCUAACACAUGCAAGUCGAGCGGCAGCGGGAAGUAGUUUACUACUUUGCCGGCGAGCGGCGGACGGGUGAGUAAUGUCUGGGAAACUGCCUGAUGGAGGGGGAUAACUACUGGAAACGGUAGCUAAUACCGCAUAACGUCUUCGGACCAAAGUGGGGGACCUUCGGGCCUCACGCCAUCGGAUGUGCCCAGAUGGGAUUAGCUAGUAGGUGGGGUAAUGGCUCACCUAGGCGACGAUCCCUAGCUGGUCUGAGAGGAUGACCAGCCACACUGGAACUGAGACACGGUCCAGACUCCUACGGGAGGCAGCAGUGGGGAAUAUUGCACAAUGGGCGCAAGCCUGAUGCAGCCAUGCCGCGUGUGUGAAGAAGGCCUUCGGGUUGUAAAGCAC